UGGGGAAUUUUUGGACAAUGGGCGAAAGCCUGAUCCAGCAAUGCCGCGUGUGUGAAGAAGGCCUUCGGGUUGUAAAGCACUUUUGUCCGGAAAGAAAUCCUUGGCUCUAAUACAGUCGGGGGAUGACGGUACCGGAAGAAUAAGCACCGGCUAACUACGUGCCAGCAGCCGCGGUAAUACGUAGGGUGCAAGCGUUAAUCGGAAUUACUGGGCGUAAAGCGUGCGCAGGCGGUUUGCUAAGACCGAUGUGAAAUCCCGGGCUCAACCUGGGAACUGCAUUGGUGACUGGCAGGCUAGAGUAUGGCAGAGGGGGGUAGAAUUCCACGUGUAGCAGUGAAAUGCGUAGAGAUGUGGAGGAAUACCGAUGGCGAAGGCAGCCCCCUGGGCCAAUACUGACGCUCAUGCACGAAAGCGUGGGGAGCAAACAGGAUUAGAUACCCUGGUAGUCCACGCCCUAAACGAUGUCAACUAGUUGUUGGGGAUUCAUUUCCUUAGUAACGUAGCUAACGCGUGAAGUUGACCGCCUGGGGAGUACGGUCGCAAGAUUAAAACUU
rnacentral:rRNA from 1 species